rnacentral:rRNA from 1 species
UACGUAGGGGGCAAGCGUUGUCCGGAUUUAUUGGGCGUAAAGAGCGUGUAGGCGGCUAUACAGGUCCGUUGUGAAAACUGGAGGCUUAACCUCCAGACGUCGAUGGAAACCGUAUGGCUAGAGUCCGGAAGAGGAGAGUGGAAUUCCUGGUGUAGCGGUGAAAUGCGCAGAUAUCAGGAAGAACACCCGUGGCGAAGGCGGCUCUCUGGGACGGUACUGACGCUGAGACGCGAAAGCGUGGGGAGCAAACAGG